GUUGUGGGUUCAGGAAUUAUUCUUUGCUCAAUUAAGCUCUGAUAAAUUUAAUUUGAUGAAAGUUUUUCUUUUAACAAUAGUAAGACAAGAGCUAUCAAUACAGAUGUUCUAGGGUAAAGGAAGGAAAUAUUACUAUGGACCGGGGUGUUGUAAAUGAAAUUUGAUGGGCAAAAUGCAAGAUUUUUUUUUUUUUUGGAAAGAAGCAAAUACAGGAAAAUCCAGGAACGCUUUGGGGUUCUAGGGAGUGGGAGAGUACAGAUUCUAUCCUGAGAUACCAAUUUUAAUUCUUAAGAAAGAAGAGAGACUUUAAUAGAAAUUCAUGCAUAUUUAAAUAAAAUAUAAAAAGAUGAUGGGGGGAGGGGAGAGUCAGUGCAGCAGGACCAGAGGCACAAUGCUAAGUUCUAACACACACUGACAUCACUGCAAUACCCUGGAAUAAAGGAAGCCCUAGCUUCCAGCAGUCGGGACUUCUCUCUCUGCAAGCAUAGCCUCAAAGCACCUCUGAUGGAUGGCUCCCAAGACAUUUCAUUGCUUGAAGUUCAGCAAGUUUGAAUUACCCUCUAGACAUCAACAUUAACUUCACAGGGUAGACCCUUAUCCUGUCUGACUGGCACCCUUAUAACAGGAUAUCUGAACACACAAGAGAGACCAGGGAUAUUCACACACAGAGGAAAGACCGUGUGAGAACAUGGUGAGAAGGCAGCCAUCUGCAAGCCAAAGAGAGAGGCCUCAGGAGAAACCAAUGCUGCCAACGCCUUGACCUUGGCCUUCCAGCCUCCAGAACUGUGAGAAAAUAAAUUUCUGUUGCGUAAGCCCCCCAGUCUGUAGUAUUUUGUUACGGCAACCCACACUGACUAAUACAUAAACCAUCAAGUAAAAGGAGUGAUCUGGAAGCAAGGCCCUAAUACUAGGUUGAAGUUGACAACAACAAGAGCUGGUGUAGAACAGACAGCAAGGAAUGAAGUCAAGAUACAGGAGAAAAGACUCUGGUUGCAGAGUCAAAC
rnacentral:lncRNA from 10 species